GAUUUCAGUGCCGCUACCGAUCGCUACGACGUCCUCAGGGCGGAAAUCAAGCAGAAGUGCGACCGGAUGUUUGACGGCGGCUCGGGAUUGCAGGAG
rnacentral:SRP_RNA from 1 species